rnacentral:lncRNA from 1 species
CUCAAACCUGCACAAAUGUUCCUUCCACGGAUCGACGGGGCCUCAGCUGAUUGAUUGUGCAGUCAGCUUUUCUGCAUAAUUACUAAGAAGAGGUUAAAUUUAGGAGUUCGCUACCGCUUUCUGCCAUGACACGCCGUCAUCUAAACCGCUAACUGAAUCUCUACAGCCUCCACGGAUCUAAUGACUGGGUGCCGUGGGCCUACGAUUAAGACCGGCCAAGUCAUUUCACUCAAGGCACCUCGUUUCUUGUGUUGCUCAUCAGCAUCCGGUCAGAGAAGCUUAACAACAGAUAAACCGGCAAACAAAAAUUGGGAAUCUUUGAUUUCACGGAACUCUCCUAACGGAUACCUGAACGCAACCCCAAACCUGAAACAUAAUGGAAAGCUUGCUUGUUGUAUUCAUACAUUUUACUUAUAUGAAGAAGGACAAAAAGUCCUAACGAGCUAGCAACGAACGGGUUUACAAAAUGGGCUGAAUAACGACACGCGUCGUUGCCUUACAGCUGUGUAUUGAACCGUAAACUAAGCAGUAUACAGGAACAACAUCGCUUUAAUGGGCGCCGCUAUACGUAUCGAACCAGCUCAGUGGUUUUUUUUUCGUAUUUCAUUAUGUUUACUACCGCCCCGAAAACAGAGAUUUCGCAAUUGUUCUAGAUGGCAGCACGCAUCAUUCUGCCAUGUUCCUAGUCGUUUUACUCUGAAAACUCGCAAUGUGUGAUUUGGCCUAUUUUUUUCUUUGAGCCUAGCAGCGUGCGAUUUUCAAGCGGGGUUGAGUGUUAAUGCAUUCGCUGUCCGUGCGGUCAGAAGAAGCCCCAUUUCAAUAAAGAUAAAAACAGCUAAUUAUCCAGUAAAUAACACACACGCACUGAUCAGCAGCGAGCAUCGUUCUAAUUAGGAAUACCUCUUUCAUAUUCCAGCCUUUGUUGUCUUCAGAAGACAAACAUCUCCCCUGCAUAGAGCUUGUCUAAAAGAUGUUCAUUUCGACGUAAAGAUUACGUUUGACCUAUUUAGUAACUAUGAAUUAAACUAUCUUCGCUAUUACACUGCAUAUCGCCCGCCUGCUCGUUUGAGGUUAUUCUAUAUGAGGUGAAGUUUGCUGAAGUCACCUUUUAGAUAUAAUGCAAGUUUAGUCGUUGUGAUGCGAAAAUCCCGCUCAGCACAAUCGGUAUAAAUUGCGGAGUACAUAAUACAACAGCCAUAAUCUUCUAAACCUAUGUUUUCGUAGAGGGAAUUAGUUGUUCCCAAAAGCCUAACAAUGUAAGCUUGCAAUAGCGUCAGUGACGAUACUGUGUAUUUAUACUAAAUAAAACUAAAUCUUACUUCAAUGUCUAACUUAAAACUAUGUUUAUACAUGGAGGCGAAUAUGCGGCGUGCAUUACAACGAUUUUUGUUAAAAGAGCACACGUAGUCAGACCACAUGGGUCGUGCAUAGGUGUAAGACUACAACGGUCCAAAUAAAUAGAUUUUUGGCGCAGGAUGCAUGUCAAAAACAAUUUUAUAAACAAAAAGGGCCAAAAAUAAAAUCUUCUGCCCAUAAUUUAUUAGCACUUGUUAGUCUUAGACUGCUUAGAAAACCUAUAGGAUUUGGGAAGAUGACAGAUAAUAAAAAUUUGUCAUAAAAUGGC